rnacentral:rRNA from 1 species
GAUCCUGGCUCAGGAUGAACGCUGGCGGCGUGCUUAACACAUGCAAGUCGAACGAAGACAUCUGAGUGCUUGCACUUGGAUGGACUGAGUGGCGGACGGGUGAGUAACGCGUGGGUAACCUGCCUUAUACAGGGGGAUAACAGUUGGAAACGACUGCUAAUACCGCAUAAGCGCACGGUAUCGCAUGAUACAGUGUGAAAAACUCCGGUGGUAUAAGAUGGACCCGCGU